GGCUACACCCAAAAUUAUAUCUUAAUCCAACAUCGAGGUCGCAAUCUUUUUUAUCGAUAUGAACUCUCCAAAAAAAUUACGCUGUUAUCCCUAAAGUAACUUAAAUUUUUAAUCAUUAUUAAUGGAUCAAUUACUCAUAAAUUAAUGGUUUUAAAAAUUAAAAGUUUUUUAAAUUUUAAUAUCACCCCAAUAAAAUAUUUUAAUUUAUUAUAACAAAAAUAAUCUUUAUAAUUAAAAUAAAUAAAAUAUAAAGAUUUAUAGGGUCUUCUCGUCUUUUAAAUUUAUUUUAGCUUUUUGACUAAAAAAUAAAAUUCUAUAAAAAAUUUAAAUGAAACAGUUAAUAUUUCGUCCAACCAUUCAUUCCAGCCUUCAAUUAAAAGACUAAUGAUUAUGCUACCUUUGCACAGUUAAAAUACUGCGGCCAUUUAAAAUUUUCAGUGGGCAGGUUAGACUUUAAAUUAAAUUCAAAAAGAC
rnacentral:rRNA from 1 species